ensembl:lncRNA
GGAACGUGGGUUCCAUCCCUGGUCCAGGAAGAUUCCACAUGGUGCUGAGCAGCUAAGCCCUUACACCACAACUAAUGAGCCUGUGUGCCAUGACCAAUGAAGCUCGUGCCCACAAGAGACGCCACUGCAGUAAGUCCAAGCGCUGCAUCGAAGUGUAGUCCCCACCCGCCGCAACUAGUGAAAGCCGGCUCACGGCAACGAAGAGCCAGCACAGCCACAAAUAAUGUUUUUUUAAAUAGAGUGAAAAUUCCAGCUUCGAGAUACAAAUGACAUAAAACAUAUUGAAAGGUUAAAGGAUACCGUGUGAUGAUUUGAUACACAUAUAUUGUGAAAUGAUAGUUAACACCACACAAGUUGUCUGUUUUCUUAUUGCUGAGUUUUGAGAGUAUGGAUAAAAGUCCUUUACCAGAUAGGUGAUUUGUACAUAGCUAUCUUGCUAUUAUUUCUAAUUUGUACCCAACUCACAAAUUCCAGUACCUAUCAACCCCUUGUUCAAAUUCAUACCUUUACUAGGAAGAUGUAAAUGUACAUGGUUUUCCAGGAAAAAAUUAUGAAAAGUACUUGGUGCAUCGAGUGUGCUCACUCGCUGGUAGACAGUCCUAAUCCGGGCUAUGAAAUCAUGUGUGAGGCUCUCCAAAGGCUGGACAUGGUGGGGGAAGGGCGGGUCAGAAACAUCUGUGGAUUUGCUCCCUCCAGGCUCAACUAGCUCCACAAUACUACCUCUCAGUCUUGCCAGGGGCUUGGAGUUUCUGAAUUAUCAAAUUAGAAUGAAACGAUGGAAAACGCCAGGGAUUCGUAGGGUGUCAAAACUUCUUUUUGGCCGCACUGCGUCAUAUGCAGGAUCUUAGACCCCUGACUAGGAGUCAAAUCCGUGCCCCUGCAGUGGAAACACCCUGGGCCACCACAGAAGUCCUAAAACUUACUCUUUACAUUCUGACACCAGUUCUCUUACACAACUGGCUGUUCCAUAGUUCAGUUUAGACAUGAACUACCCUGAGUGGGUGAAGAUCCCACAGGCUAAGGGGUUCAACCACAAGACCUGGGCCUCCAGGCUACCCAUACCUCUGACCUUCGCUACAAAUUUGGUAGUUCCCACAGCCCACUUCAGGUUCAGUAAGUUGCUAGAAUGACAAAGAACUCCGGAAAGUGCAGUAUAUAUGACUGCUGCAUUAUUUUAAAGGCUACCUUUAAAUGAAGAGCUAGAUAAAGAGAUGCAUUGGGCAGCAAGGUCUGGACAAGUCCUGAGGUCAGGAGCCUCACCCUGAUGCGUGCAGUCAGGGUGCAUCACUGUCCUGUUACAUUGGUAUGUUCACCAACCUGGAAGUUCUCCAAACUUCGUUGUUUAGUUUUUAUUGAGGCUUUAUUACAUAGGUGUGAUUGAAUAAAUCACUGGUCACAUGAUUGAGUGCAAUCUCCAGCCUCUCCCCGCCGACCCAGAGGUGGAGAGUAGGGCUGAAAAUUGGUUGGUUUUUCUGGUGACCAGCCACCAUCCUGAAGCUCACUCAGGGACCUCAGAGCUGGCAGUGAGUUUCCUUGUUAGCAUAAAUCCAGCAACCGGUCCAAAGGGCCUCAUUAUGAAUAAUGAAAGACACUCCCAGCACUCAGGAAAUCCCAAGGGUUUCUGAAGCUCUUUACCAGGAUCUGGGGACAAAGACCAGAUAGAUGUGUUGCUGUUUUCAUUACACUGCACCCUGGUUUAAAAUCAGGAGGCAUCUGUGUAUAAUUCUUGACCCCACAGCUCAAGAGAUAGUCCAUUAAAACCAACCACGUCCUCCGAUCUCAUUCAAUCAGCGCAGUGCCCUGUACAGUAGCAUUAAUGUCCAUAUGCUACAGACGAAGAAGCUGAGAUGCAUAGACAUUAAAUGACUUCCCUAGCUGCCAGCUGGCGGGUGGCUGGCCUGGGUCUGUAGGACUNNNNNNNNNNNNNNNNNNNNNNNNNNNNNNNNNNNNNNNNNNNNNNNNNNNNNNNNNNNNNNNNNNNNNNNNNNNNNNNNNNNNNNNNNNNNNNNNNNNCCUAGCUGCCAGCUGGCGGGUGGCUGGCCUGGGUCUGUAGGACUCCAACUUGCCUCAAAACUGGGAAGUCUGUUCCAUGGUCCUCAGCCAGAAAGUGGCAUGGCCAACAUUCUAAUCCUGUUCUGCCAAAUAGGAGUCUUGGACCGACAGACUACACUGCUAAGUUGUGCGACGCUGGGGUAGUUACUUAACCUCACUGUGCCUGGGUUUUCUCAUCUAUAAGUAACAGAUAACACCCAUCUCUGAAGGUGGUUGUGAAGAUGAAACUACAAGGGAAAGAAGUCAGAACAGAUCAGGGAGUAGCCAAUGUCCAAACUCUUAACUAUUCAUCUG